UACAUUUGCUAUUUAAUUCUUAUGACAGUCCUGCAAACUAUUUGACAGAUGGUAAAACAGGCUUAAAGUUCCUAAGUCUCUUAGUUAGCGUCCUACAACUAGUAGGUGGCAGUUGGGAUAUUCAAACUCAGCUCCUUUUUACUCCGGAGCUGUGUCUUUUCCAUUGUCAGACACUUCUGACUGUUUUCAUGCAUCUGUGUGUGCUACUGGCAUGUGAGACACAACAGAAGAAAUCUCAGGGGAUGAAGGGAAUUUGGGGUUCAUGUAGCAGCCACCUCACGUCAUGCUUCUGGAAACACGCUCGCCAAGAAAUGUCAGCCUCUGAUAGCAUAACUGAUCCUCUCCUUCUCAAACCAACAUUGAAGAAGGAGCAGAGCCUGAACGUAGGGAAAUUCUGCUUUUUAUUCCACACAGGUACCUUUUUGUCAGCAUUCCUGAGAUAUAGAAAACUGAGAAAUUACAGGGAAAUUAAAAAUAGCACAAACGCUAAUUCUCACACGUGCACGCCUCACAAGCACACAUGGAAAACACAUUUGUUUUGUGUGACACAGUUAAUGGGAGUAGGGACAAUAAAUAAGAAUGGUCUUUUAAAAAAUUCAGACACUAAAAUUUACCUGUGGUUUCUUCAGAAUGUUGGGAAUGUGACGUGGCCUCAUAGGUUGAAUAAUGGCAAAAACAUAUGGGCCUCCAGAAGAACAUUCUUUUUAGCCACUGACUUUCUUUAACAUUCCAGGGGAAUUGCUCAUUUCUAUAUAUUUUAAAAUAGUUUGGUGAAGCAUUGCAAAGACUAUUUUUAAGUUAAAUAUUUAAUAUCAGUCAUAAUUUUUUGGUAACUGCUGGUUCUCAGUUGCCUGUCCCCAGCAAGAGCUAGUUUAGAUACAGUAUUGCCUAAAGAAGUCAGGAUGGGCUAGACUAUUCCAAGUUUCCCUAAGAUGAUAGCACAGGGCUAAGUACUUCUAUUUUCACCCUCUUGAGGUAGGUAACAUUAUUGCACCCAGUUUUCAGAUGAGGAAACUGAGACCCAAAGGAUAUUAACUAACUUGCCCACUAAUGUGGUAGACAAAUAGUAGAGUUAGGAUUCAAACCCUGGUGGUUUUGUGCCAGCAUCCGGGUACUUCAUCUCCAGGCUCUACAGCUCAGAGAGAGCCAGGCUAGUCAUUGGGAAGUUAAUCUUUCAAUGAUUACUGCUCUGUGUUCAUUCAAGGUUGGAGAAAGGGCUCUAACCAAAGCUUUAUCAGAUCACCUUGAACAAUACGUUGGAUAAUAAACCAAAGAAAGAAAAGUAAGGGAACUGCUUAGGAUUCAAGGCUGGGGAUCUGUGAACUCCUAAAGACCUUAGGGGAUUGAGUGCCCCUCGGAGGGCAUCAUUUCUGGCACAGAGCCAAGGAAGAAAAUGAAAAACACAUCUCUGGGUGGAAAGUUUAUUUAGAUGUCAUGAAAGGGUCAUCCUGUCCUAAGGGAUGACUGGUGCUCAUUGCUUGGUCUGGAGCACAUGCCUAGGGUUGGAAAUGAUUCUUGACUUCGGGUCCUGGCAUAUGCAGAGCAAAGCAGCAAAUGCUCGUUACCCCCAGCAUGGAUCUAACUCACACGGUGUGCUGCCCCUGUGGGCACAUCCACGUGGAGCUCCAGAGGUUUUUCUUUUAAAAACAUGUAGGCCUUCACAAUUCCUUUGCCUUUCUUGGCCCAUCCCCUGGGUGGGGCUGUUUGCUUCUCAAAGCAAAAUGGCUUCUAUCUUUGGGAGGUGCAUCUAAAGGCAAAGCUACUUUAUUUAUAGGCUAAUCAUAAGGCCAUAAUUGGAUUGGGUCUAUCUGCCAGUCACCCUGAGAUAUUUAUGGCAUGUGCUUUCUCCAAGUCUGUCUCUUUCCAUUGUCCAGAUCAGAGGGAAAGUAAGAGAGGAAGGAGGUUAAGUUACUGGGUAUUGCUUAGAGGUGAUUCACCAAGGGUGUAUUUUAGCCCUGGGUUAGACACAUAGAGUGUUUGCAAAAAGAAAAAAGAGAAAAGAAAAGAGUAGCAUUUUGUGAUGGGAAUCAGGUACAAUUAAUCCUUCCUACCUCGCUAUUUCUUCUGAGUAUAUUCAGACUAAUUUAAGGAUUCUCUGGAUUAUGUAUUGCAGUUUUAUAAAAAUUUUGUUCUGUUUUAAUUGGGCCUUUAUUUGCUUUAGUUUAUGGUGAUAUUAUUGUUUAUUUCAUAGGCUUGUUUUUACUUAGAGGAACCACCUUGGACAAAGAAAAAACUUUAGAAUAAGUGUUGUGUGUUGGGAUAAGAUAAAAAGAGAAAAGGUAACCUAAAUCCAAGUCUUGGCUGUCAAGCAGGAGCCAUAUAAGUUUUCCAUUUGUAAAAGGUUUUGGGUCACAUCAGUGAUUCCCAAGCAUGACUGUCCAUCACAGUCACCUAAAGAGUGUUUUAGAAUGAGAUGACUGCUAUAAAGUAUGCGGGGACUUUUUGGGGUGAGAGAAUCUUUCUAUAUCUUGAUUAUAAUGGUAGUUGCAUGCCUGAAUACAUUUGUCAAAAUCUGAGAAUUGUACAGUAAAAAGGAUGAAUUUCACUGUAUGCAAAUUACCUUAAUUUUAAAAUUUAAAAAUAUGUUUUAAGUCUCCCGAAUAUUAAUAUAUUGAAAAAAAAAUGUCUGGGUCCCAUUCCAAACCAACUAUCUACUGAAGGGUAUCUAUUCUUUUAACCAUCUCUGUACUUGUGAAUCUGAUGGGAAUCAACUCAAACGUUCUAAAUUUUCAUGAUCCCAGGGUCAGGUGUUGGUCAGCCAUGGCCAUGAAGUCAAGAGUAGCAUAGGUGGCAAAGAACAGCAUGAUGACUACAGUCUCAGCGUGUCCGGACAGACCAUUUAAACCACAUGGGGAAUGGAGGAAAGAUGUGUGGCUAAGCUCUUGAGUCCAAUACUCAGAGCAACCUUCAUGAUCAAUGAGCCAAAAAGGUGGGAGCAGCCCGGUACUGACUGAUAUUAGAAACCAGUGUGAAGAUGGAGGAUGUUGAACUUAGAACUGUAUAUUAAUAAAAGCUAUUAUUUUCCCCCUAGCAUUACAAAGGAAAGAAACAGUGCUUUGGGAUGAGUCUGACACCAGUCACAUGAUGAUAGCAUGUAAGUGUCCAGCAGAAACAGGCUCGUUGAUUUGGACCAUGUGGAUUUUAAGAAGGAAGAGAAUGCAUCCUCAGGUCUGACAGAUAUUUUGGGCCCAGCAUCAACCUCUGAGAUUCCACAGUAACACUAAAAAAGAUACACGAGACCCUCAAAAUUAAACGUGUUUACUGAUAGCAUUAACAAUACACUGGGCUCCUAAUAGGAAAAUAGAAUGUUGAAAAUAGCUUUGUUUAAAGUUCCUGAAAGAAUGUAGUAGGUAGGUUAUGGGGUGUGUCUCUUUCAAAGUACACUUCCUUAGGAUCAUCCCUCCCCAAAACCCUUCUGAAGCUGGAGGAUUAGGUGACUACACAUCUACAGUGUAGCCACGAUCUCUGGCUACAGCUGAUGGAACAGUAGCGGGCGCCAACGGCACCGCGACUGGGGAUACUGCAUAUAGCAAGACCGAGAUAGUUCUCUCUCAACCAGAAUGAAAAGUCACUGAGGAAGUGGGUUGCAGUUGUGCAUGGGAAGCCAAAGCCACAGGCAAGCUAGCAUGAGAGGGAAGCAGUAACUGCAAGUAGUAACAACAAUUACAACAACAAGAAUAGUAGCUAACACUUAUGAAAUGCUUCCGUGUGCCAAGCACUAUGUGAGAAUCCUAUCAGGUGGGUAACAUCACCAUCUUGAUUAUAAAACGAGGGAACCAAGAUUUGGAUGUGAUGACUUUCCUAAGGUCACACAGCUGGUAAGAGGCAGAGCUGGGAGGCAACCCAGCGUUCUUUCUGAACUGAGCCACUGAGGACUUCCUGUUUGCGGCUGAAAAAUAGUUGAGCAAGCAGCUCCAGCCAGUUUGACACAACAUCAGAGCUGUUGCUAGGCAGCGCUGUUGCUAGGCAGCGCAUUUUAAUCUCACGAGCACCAGCCUGGGUUGCCAGGUUGGCACAAAGUCACAGGUGACCUCACCUGUCUUCCUAGUUAAUCUUGUUAUCCUAAUGGGGAUGAUUUCCCCGCUGUGGAGACUUGAUGCUCUUGGCACCUGGACAGCGCCCAAGGCUUGACUCAGAGAUGGACAAGAACUUGUCGAGGACUCAGUUGCUGCCAGCAGAGGCUGCAGGUGCUGCCUGACCAGCAAGUGGUCCUAGACUCACAGGAAUGUGCACACUAGUAUAUUGUGAAAGACUUGUUCCAGGAAAGCAGCCUUGGACAAAAGGAAAGGACUUGGAAUCCUUUGGUCCUCAGAACAUACUUCACAUUCUUUAUGGCAUUGUGGCCUCUUUUCCUUUCCCAGGGGAAGCGUGCACUUUCACAUUUGUGAGGUGCCCUGCAUGUGGCAUCCUAGCUGAAACAUCAUUACGUUCCUGUGUGUCUGAAGAAGCUUGCUCUGUGACAGGAACUUGCUUCGUAAAACACUUAGGGAACUCCUAGUCUCAGCAGUGCGUUAUGGGAGAGGGCUGGAGAGCUAGAUUUAGGUCACCCCUCAAUCAUGUGGAUGGAGCAGCCCCCAGUUAUCCCAAAAGGCGUUUAUUAAUUUUCCUGCUGCCUGGUUGGGUCAUCUGUAUCUUUAAAGAGUGGUGGGCCUCAUCUGGCAACUCCACAUUGCCUGGAAAACCUGGGGAUUUGCCAUUACCUCUUUGUAGAGGUGUUCUACCAAGUACAGGAAGAAUCCAUUAUUAUUAUUAUUAUUCUUGGCUUCAUUUUUAAUCCACAAAGUACCUAGGAGACAACUCGCCUGUUAAUAAAGUUUCAUUUUCUGAUUUAGGAAAACAAAACGAAUCAAGAAGCUUUGAAGCACAUUUUUGAAUGGUGUUGACAAGGUCAUUUCUAAACCUUUGAAAAGAGAUUCUGCUAGACCAAAAAAUAAAAUAGAAUAAAAUAAAAUAAAAUAAGCUAAAAGAAGCAGAGUUCUUUUUGUAAACUAGCUAAAGGAUUUAUUCCUUGAGAGGUGGGUUAGAAUCCGAACUCCAUCUCUUUCUAGCUGAGAGACCUUGGGUAAUUUACUCAGGCUCAAAAAAGCUUCUUCACAGGAUUGGGUGCAGACUAAAUGAGACACAUCUGUACACUGGCCAGUCCAGUCUGGCACAUAGGAGGCCUAUGUAGAGCAUACGGAUUCCUGUCCAGGCUUUUGUGUUAGAAGUCAUUAGCCUUUCUUCCAAAAGAGGCAUCACAGAAUCAGAGUGUGGAUUGCUUUUCCAUAAGAGCCACUUCAAACCAUAAGAGAAUAAGAGAGAGUCAAGAGAAGGCCUUCCAACCCUUUACAUUAGGGAUACUUAAAAAAAGCCAGCAUACUAAAACCUCUUGUCACUUACUUUGCCCAUUAUGGGCUCUAAUAUCCAAAGCUUUGGGGGCUAUAUCAGGAUAAAGACACAUACUCAAAGUCCUGGAAUUUGUUGCUCCCCUAAAACGUCUUUGAGGAGGGAAAUUGUGGGAAGCCUGCAUGGAUGGCCAUGGUCACGGACUCAUGAUGUCACUGAACGAGAAUCAUUGUCAUUCUGAGCCAUGCUCAAGUUAGGGGGAAGCAUCCCUCCUGUCAUAUUUCUGGUAACAGCCACUUAACUAGGGCACAAAUGAUUAAUAUAUUCACACAGAUGGAAAUGUGUACUUCUAUUAUUAUAAAAUGUUUGGGCCCACCUAUUUUUGUUUAAAAAAAUAUAUUUUUUAAAUAAAAGCAGCUCUCAUACAUAUGAAGCAGAUGCAAAACAGAAAUAGACUCACAGACAUAGAAAACACACUUAUGGUUACCAAAGGGGAUAGUGUGUAUGGUGGGGGGGAGGUGAGAUAAAUUAGGAGUUUGGGCUUAAUGUAUACCCACUACUAUAUAUAAAAUAGGUAAACAACAAGGACCUACUCUAUAGCACAGGGUACUAUACUCAGUAUCUUAUAAUAACCUAUAAUAGAAAAUAAUCUAAAAAAGAAUAUAUGUAUUGUAAAUUAACUACACUUCAAUAAAUUAAUUAAUAAAAUAAAAUAAAAGCAACUCACAUCUGUGUUCCCUGGGCUACCUGAGCAUGCCCUCGAAGUAGCAUGACUCACCCAGGACUCUCACCUUGUUUCUAAUGUGUUUCUGUGCUAGACUCUGAGCUGAUCAAGAGCCCUGCGUUCAACUCUUAGUUAUUUCUAUUACUAGAUGUCUGAGCUUGGGCGUUAUUUAUUCAUCUCUGAAAUGGUAGUAAUAAUAGUAUUGAUAGUCUGUGGUCUUUUUUGUUUGUUUGUUUGUUUUUCUCUGGUGAAGAUUAAAUGAGAGCAGAGACCUUAACUCAGUGCUUGACACAUAUUAAGAGUUCUAUAAUUGUUAUUAUUAUUGUUACUAUUGUGAUGCCACUUCCAGCACUCACUCACAUGAGACUAGAAGAGUUUUAAAAAAUUGAUUUAUUGUAGCUAAACCAUAGUCCUGCUCAUCUAGCUUUGGGCUUUGACCUACAGGGGUGGAUGUGGUUGGAGAGGAAUGGCAACAGCGUUGACUGGCUUCACGUUAAAUUCCUGACUGUUGAUCUCAAGUGAGCACUUAACACUGCCCAGUAAUCACACAGUAUUUCUCUGAUUUAAUCAUCUUUUCACUCUCUAAGGUGAGGAGUUCAUACUCUCUUCAGUCUCAAACCUCCCAUUCUUACUCUUAGCUAACGAUCAUGCUUCUAUUUCAAUGACAAAAGGAAAAAGAUGCAAUCAGAGGAGGUAGCUCCCAUCACCUCCACAUCUUCUCACCACCCCGUCUAGAAGUCUGUGUAACAUUCUAUAUUCUUCCUGUAACCACGGGUGGACUGCUGUGCCCUUGGCUAAACCACGCCCUCCUCCCAAGCACUACAAUCCAUCCCCUCUUGCCUACUCAAGGUCAUUGCUGUAGCAUUCUCCCCUCUCGGCAUCCUUGAUUUUUCUCUUUCUACGGAUCAUCCCCAUUAGCAGGCAAACAUUGAACUUUCUCUCCCACCUUUAAAAAUCUGAUUUUCACCUUUUUCCUCCUUCAGUGAUACCCCCAUUUCUCUCCUUCCCUUUAGCAUUAAGUUCUUUGAAAGAGUUGACCAUCAUAUCAUCCAUCUCCAAUAUCUCUUCUCCCGUUCUCCCUUGAGUCCAUUCUAAUCAAGUGUGGCCCCUGUCACUCCACUGCAGCUGCUCUUGCCAAGUCAGCAGUGACUCAGGCACUGCUAAUUCCAAUGGUCAGCUCUCAGUCCUCGUCUUAUGUGACCUGUCAGAAGCAUUGGAGGAGUUGAUCACUUCCUCUUUCUUCCAGGACCACACAAAUACCUAGUUUGUAUUAAUUUUCUUUAUUUUUUCUUUAUUUUUAAAUAUGCUUAAUUUUUUCUUUCAUACCUAGUUUUUAACUUACCUUCUGGCUGUUUCUCCUCAGUCUCCUUUGCCCCAACCUCUAAAUAUUGGAGAGACCCAGGAUUCAGAGCACAUAUCUCUUUUCUUCAUCCCUUAUAUCCUUCCUACUCAGUGUUGGGAACCAGCAACUUGACUUGGUAGAGUGUUAGAAAUGCCCCACACCCACACCCCCAGACUUGCUGAAUCAGAAUCUGUAUGUUAGCAAAAUCCCUAGUAAUCCAUUUGCCCAUUAAUAUUUAUGAUCACCAUAAGUGAUCCUAUCUAAUUCCAGGGCUUUAAGGCUACCUAUUUGCUGAGUCGACUACCAAAUUUAUAUUUCUAGCCAAGAAUCUCCAGUGAAAUAUAAACUCAUUCAUCCAACCACUAGCAGCUUUCCUACGUGGAUGUUUUAUAGUCAUUCCCAACUUAACCAUCCAAAACUGAGCUCCUGAUGUCCCCACUCAACCUGCUUCUCCAGUGCCCUUCCCUCUCCUCAUUAAUAACAGCUCCAUCCUUCCAUUGCUCAGGCCAAACCCUUGGCAUCAUCCUUGCCUCUUUCCCAUAUUUUGUCUGUCAACAACCCUGUCGGUUCUACAUUUGUGAUGUAGUUAGAAUUUAAUUGUUUUCAUCACCCCCACUAUCUAGGACCAACUCUGCUUCCGUUCUUUCCCCUAUUCCAUUCUCUAAAUAUCAGCCAGAAUAAAUUUUGAUAGAUCUUACCACUCCUCUGUUCAAAGUCUCCCAGCAUUCCCACCUUACUUAAGAUGUGACCCACAAGAUCUCACCUGGCCUGUUUCCUUCGUCCAUUACCUCUUUGAUUCUCCUGCUGUUUCUUUCUUCUUUCAUUACUGUGCUCCAAUCUCACUUCCUUUCUCACUGUUCCACAAACUCCUCCCCCUUCCCUCCACUUCAUAAUCCCCUUUCCCUUAUUUCCCUUAUUUAUUCCUUUAUUUAUUAGCAAAUCUAACAUUCUCUCCUUUUUCUCUCUCUCUGUAUUAGUCAGUGUUCCCCAGAGAAACAGAACCAAAAAGAUAUGUAGAGAUAUAUAGAAAGUGACUUAUUAUGAGAGAUUGGCUCAUGCUAUUAUGAAGACUGAAAAAGCCUGCGAUCUGCCAUCUGCAAGCUGGAAGCCCAAGAAAGAUGGUGGUGUAGGUCCAGUCCAAGCCUGAAGGCCUGAGAACUAGGGGAAUCAAUGGUGUAAGUCCCAGUCCCAGUCUAAAGGCCCAAGAGCCAGGAGCUCCAAUGUCUGAGGGCAGGAGGAGAUGGAUGUCCCAGCUCAAGCAAAGAGAGCACAUUUGCCCCUCCUCUGCCUUUUUGUUCUAUUCAGACCCUCAACAGAUUGGAUGAUGCCAACCCACACUGAUGACAGCAAGCUUUACUCAAUUUACUAAUUCAAACUUUAAUCUCUUCUGGAAACAUCUUCACAGACACACCCAGAAAUAAUGUGUUGACAGCUAUCUGGGUAUCCCUUAGCCCAGACAAGCUGAUGCAUAAAAUUAACCAACCUUUACAUGACUAGUACCUACUCAGAUGAACGGCACUCCCUCCAAGAAGACUUCCCUAAAACUCCUAGACAGGGUCAGGCAUCCCCUGAACGUGUCCGUAGAUCCCCACAUUUGUCUACUCAAACACUUAGCAGCUGCACCGUAACAGUCUAUUCACUUGCCUAGGAUCACAACUAGAUUAGAAUCUUGUUCACUGUUUAACUCUAUAGAACAGGUGAUUUGCUUACUAUCAAGGAGUUUGUAUAUGUGCCAAAUAUCAAGUGUAUUAUACUAAAUUGCCAGGACCCCAAAGAUCCAUUUAUAAUAAUAAGUAACCACAUGCAUUAUUUGGAUUAAAACCAAUUGUCCCACCAUGCUGCCUAAUGGAAUCUUUUAUAUUAUGCAUUACUUUUUAAGGCAGCAUUUCUCUAAUUGUGUAAUGAAAAAAGACACAAGGGAUGAAUACGUAUACAUGAUCAAAUUGUCCUGAUCCUGUACCCUCAUACUUAGCUUAUCGGAUCUAGUCUCUUGGUAUCUGGAAACUUUCUUGUCCAGGCCCUUUUUUUAAAUUAUCUUACACAUUUAAGAGUGUGGUGUAGAGCUGGCCAAUUACCUGUCCAAUAUGUUCUGUCUUAAACAAUCUAAUAAUUCGGACAAAAAGGUCUUUUUCCUUAAGACCAAGUAUUUUUUUACCUCAGUAUCUACAUAUUAAAUUCUUUACUUAACAAUGCUUAUGUUAUGAUUGUUCAAAAGGAUGUUAUAUAAUAUUGUUAUGAGCUGAAUGUUUGCCCUCCCCUGAAGUUCAUAUGUUGAAGACCUAAACCCCCAAAUGUGAUAGUAUUUGGAGUUGGGGUUUUUAGGAGGAAAUUAGGUUUAGAUGAGGUCGAGGGUGGGACCUUCAUGAUGGGAUUAGUGCCCUUAUAAGAAGAGGAAUACAGAGCUCUCUCUCUCUCUCUCUCUCUCCACUCACAAGUACAGAAGAAAGGCUAUAUGAGCACAGCUAGAAGGUGGAUGUCUACAAGCCAGGAAGAGAGCUCUUCAUAGAACCCGACCAUGCCAGUACCUUGAUCUUGGCCUUCCCAGCCUCUAGAACUGUGAGAAAUAAAAUCUAUUGUUUUUAAGCCA